rnacentral:rRNA from 1 species
UGGAUUGAGAACAUGUACAAAUGUUAUCGAUAAACAAUUGGAGGGCAAGUCUGGUGCCAGCAGCCGCGUAAUUCCAGCUCCAAUAGCGUAUAUUAACGUUGUUGCAGUUAAAAAGCUCGUAGUUGAAAUGUGGGAUGAAGUAUAUGAUGAAUUUAAUAUUCAAUUAUAUAUUGAUUCCCCUCUCCAAUUUAUUAUUAUGGGUAUUAAUUUAUUUGUAAUAAGAAUUGGUCAUUUACUGUGAGAAAAUUAGAGUGUUCAAAGCAGGCAUUUGCUUGAAUAGAUUAGCAUGGAAUAAUACUAAAAGGCUUUUAUGGUCGAUUUAAUUGGUUUGUUCAUAAAAGCAAGAUUAAAAGGAACAGUUGGGGGUAUUCAUAUUCAAUAGUUAGAGGUGAAAUUCUCGGAUUUAUGGAAGAUGAACAAUCCCGAAAGCAAGUUUAUUUCCCCAACCCCCCACCAAAAAUU